GACGAACGCUGGCGGCGUGCCUAAUACAUGCAAGUUGAGCGCUGAAGGUUGGUACUUGUACCAACUGGAUGAGCAGCGAACGGGUGAGUAACGCGUGGGGAAUCUGCCUUUGAGCGGGGGACAACAUUUGGAAACGAAUGCUAAUACCGCAUAAAAACUUUAAACACAAGUUUUAAGUUUGAAAGAUGCAAUUGCAUCACUCAAAGAUGAUCCCGCGUUGCAUUAGCUAGUUGGCGAGGUAAAGGCUCACCAAGGCGAUGAUACAUAGCCGACCUUAGAGGGUGAUCGGCCACAUUGGGACUGAGACACGGCCCAAACUCCUACGGGAGGCAGCAGUAGGGAAUCUUCGGCAAUGGACGAAAGUCUGACCGAGCAACGCCGCGUGAGUGAAGAAGGUUUUCGGAUCGUAAAACUCUGUUGGUAGAGAAGAACGUUGGUGAGAGUGGAAAGCUCAUCAAGUGACGGUAACUACCCAGAAAGGGACGGCUAACUACGUG
rnacentral:rRNA from 1 species